AGAUUGAACGCUGGCGGCAUGCUUUACACAUGCAAGUCGAGCGGCAGCGCGGGAGCAAUCCUGGCGGCGAGCGGCGAACGGGUGAGUAAUGCAUCGGAACGUGUCCCGUAGUGGGGGAUAACGCCGCGAAAGCGGCGCUAAUACCGCAUAUGCUCUACGGAGGAAAGUGGGGGACUCGCAAGGGCCUCACGCUAUGGGAGCGGCCGAUGUCCGAUUAGCUAGUUGGUGGGUAAAGGCCUACCGAGGCGACGACGGGUA
rnacentral:rRNA from 1 species